rnacentral:rRNA from 1 species
GACGAACGCUGGCGGCGUGCUUAACACAUGCAAGUCGAACGGAAAGGCCCUGCUUUUGUGGGGUGCUCGAGUGGCGAACGGGUGAGUAACACGUGAGUAACCUGCCCUUGACUUUGGGAUAACUUCAGGAAACUGGGGCUAAUACCGGAUAGGAGCUCCUGCUGCAUGGUGGGGGUUGGAAAGUUUCGGCGGUUGGGGAUGGACUCGCGGCUUAUCAGCUUGUUGGGGGGGUAGUGGCUUACCAAGGCUUUGACGGGUAGCCGGCCUGAGAGGGUGACCGGCCACAUUGGGACUGAGAUACGGCCCAGACUCCUACGGGAGGCAGUAGUGGGGAAUAUUGCACAAUGGGCGGAAGCCUGAUGCAGCAACGCCGCGUGCGGGAUGACGGCCUUCGGGUUGUAAACCGCUUUCGCCGGUGACGAAGCGUGAGUGACGGUAAUGGGUAAAGAAGCACCGGCUAACUACGUG